UGGAACUCGGGUCCUUGCGCUUGCACAGCAGGCGGCGAAACCACUGAGCUAAAUCCCCGGCCUACUCUUUAAUUUUUUGAUGUCUACUUGUGGAGCAAAAAAAUUAUCAUCUUUCCCUCAUUUUAGAAAAUCUCAGGCAACAUAAGGAUCCCUAGACAAUAACCAGGAGGACCUGGCUACACUGUUCCUGAACUUUAGGGGAGAUAUUUAACCUUUUUGGGCCUCAGUUUCCCCAUCUGUAACCCAAGGAGAAUGGGCUCGAUGGUUCCCGAGGCCCCUCCUGACUCUGACCUCCUCUGACUGAAUAAGAUAAUGUGUGAAAACACUUUGUAAACGCUAAAGCCGGAUGGAUGCCAGGGAUUAUUAUUACGAUUCUAAUCAAUCCUCUUUUCUCCACAUGGAUCUUCGCUGUUUAGUGCCAGCAAGCAGGCUAAAGAGGGCCGAAAGCGAGAAAGCUUAGCCAAGAUGGAAAAGCUCUGUGCUGUGGAUGGAAAAAACCAUGCAUCUCCAGAAACAUUCUGUCUCUGUGCUCCUGGAGGUGUGGUGGGAAGGGUGAGGAGAAGGAAGAGCCCUGGACUCCAUCUGACCUAUUUCAGUUUACGUGGCAGCAGAGGGUAUAUUUCUUCAAAAGCAUCUGUUUGUCUCCAAGUGACUGACAUAAGAACCUGAUGGGAAGGCGAUUUGCAAUUGUUUUUUUUCUGAGAAGAAAGGAAAGAGCAAGGUGUAGCUGAUUAGCAAGUUAAUUAUUUCACUACCCCAAGGGUUCCAGUGUGGUGUUAAGUUGUCCAGCCCAGGUGUAAUUUCACAGUCUCUGUAUUUCUCAGUGAGUGCCUGAGGUUCCUGAGUCCGUCUGUCUCUCUGUCCACCUGCCUUGUGUCUUCCUGACAUGCCUGGGGAGAGGAGCAAAGACUGGGGUAGGAGUUGAUAUAGUGUAGACCUUAGCCUUGGCUGCAAGAGGGGGCAGAUGGACAGGGUGAAGGGAGCCCAAGUGAUGCCCUCCACCUCCACUAUGGUCCUUUCUUGUUUUAAAACAUUUUUCUUUCAAUAAAUAUUAAUGAGACAGGUUAUCGGGAAGUGGCGUUGCUGUGAGGUUACUACCCCAGACUUGGCCUGCAGAUAAACUGGGUUGGAGCCCUUGCCUCACCUCCGGGUGCCAGUUCUCUGGUACGUGAGCCUAUUUGAUUUCUCACCUCUGGCCACCACUUAAUUCUGCGGCAGGCUUCUCCAGUCCAACUGCAAGAUCUGACUUCCCCUCGGGGAGACUACUGAGGAGGAUUGUGUGGUCAAAGGGACACCUCCCCUCAGAGAGAUAAGUUGGAAAGGAAACAGCCACAGCACCAAGCUCUGGAGAGCCUGUCUGAUUUCAGUGGAAAGAAGAAGACACACUGGCAUUCAGCUGUCCGAAAAGAUAAUCCUGAUGACCGCUUCAUUGAUGGUGGAAGAGGAUUUGGGGAGCAGAGGGCUUGGGAACAGGGUUUGGGUGAGUCCAGUCGCUGUUCAAAUCAGACUUGGCCUCCUAUCCCUCAUAGUCUUAGUCUUUCUCUGUAGGGGAAAAGGUAGUUAGGGAAAUGCCAGCUCAGGAGCACGGGCAGAGGGAGGAGUCCCUCAUCUCAGUCUUGCCAAAAGGAAGCUAGGGGAUGGUAACAACAGAUGCUAGAGAGCAGAGCAUUGAGGUUCCAUGUGGGAUCUUGGCCCUGACUCAGGAGAUGAAGUCUUUGGCAAGUUUGGAAAGACCUACCAGUGCCAUUUAUUCAUCAUCUCUGUGGACUAAAUUCAAUUUCUUUUUGCUGCCUGGUGUCUGGUAAGGCAGCACUUUCCAGCUUGCAUUACGUUCAUGCGUAAUUUCCACCGUCUUCUUGCACAUGUCCCAGUUUGGCUUUCCCAGCUUUCCCAGCACUAGUUUCCCUUUCCCUCAGGCUGCUUGUCAUGGACCCGGCAUUCUAGUCCACUAGCUGGCACCCAGCUCAUCUUCUGGAAGAUGAGCUGUCAGGCCUGUGCCUGUGUGCAGGCUUUUCUCAUUCGGGCUCCUGGAGGGAUAUACCUUCCCCUUAAAUAAGAGAAGCAGGGAGCUAUUUCUGUGAAUCUCUUCAGGAAGGAUUUACCUCUAAAUUGAUAAGUGCAAUUCUCCCUUUCCUCCUUCUGAAUGAAUAACUUUGUCAGUCAACCUGAGGGUCUGCAGAACCUAUAGAAAUGCUUCCUUUGGUCACCCUGUUUUAACACAUGCUGGGGCUUGGGUCUGCCUCUGGCAGACUGGGAGGAGUAGACACAUUCCAGAGACCAGGUCUUGGUCUUAUCUCUUCCCCUACCCCAAAUCCUCACCCUCUAGUUUAUCUCUUUUUACUACAAAUGCAGAGACCGCCUAGGGAAGUGUGAAGGGAUGGGUUUUAAUCAGAUUUGGGGGAGGAAGGGGAAUAAGGUAAGCCCAAAGAAAAAUAGGGACAGUUGGAAUUUUUUAGAUGACAUUCUUCUGUUACACUGCUUGUGUCUUAUAUAUUAUAUCCUACAAAUUAUGAAUUUGUUGUAAUCUGCAGUGCAUAUGUGCAUUUAGCAAAUGCUGCUUGGUCAAAACAGUGUUAAAUAAAAUGGUAAGAAAUGCUA